GUAAUGGCCUACCAAGGCGACGAUCCGUAGCUGGUUUGAGAGAAUGACCAGCCACACUGGGACUGAGACACGGCCCAGACUCCUACGGGAGGCAGCAGUGGGGAAUCUUGGACAAUGGGCGCAAGCCUGAUCCAGCCAUGCCGCGUGAGUGACGAAGGCCUUAGGGUUGUAAAGCUCUUUUGCCGGGGACGAUAAUGACGGUACCCGGAGAAUAAGUCCCGGCUAACUUCGUGCCAGCAGCCGCGGUAAUACGAAGGGGACUAGCGUUGUUCGGAAUUACUGGGCGUAAAGCGCACGUAGGCGGAUUUGUAAGUCAGGGGUGAAAUCCCGGGGCUCAACCUCGGAACUGCCUUUGAUACUGCGAAUCUCGAGUCCGAUAGAGGUGGGUGGAAUUCCUAGUGUAAAGGUGAAAUUCGUAGAUAUUAGGAAGAACACCGGUGGCGAAGGCGGCCCACUGGAUCGGUACUGACGCUGAGGUGC
rnacentral:rRNA from 1 species